GAGUUUGAUCCUGGCUCAGGACGAACGCUGGCGGCGUGCCUAACACAUGCAAGUCGAGCGGGGAACACUGGAAGCUUGCUUUUGGUGUUUCUAGCGGCGGACGGGUGAGUAACGCGUGAGCAAUCUGUCUCAGACAGGGGGAUAACGCAGCGAAAGUUGCACUAAUACCGCAUAAGACCACGGGAUCACAUGGUUCUGGGGUAAAAGGUUUAUCGGUUUGGGGUGGGCUCGCGUCCGAUUAGCUAGUUGGCGGGGUAACGGCCCACCAAGGCGACGAUCAGUAGCCGGACUGAGAGGUUGAACGGCCACAUUGGGACUGAGAUACGGCCCAGACUCCUACGGGAGGCAGCAGUGGGGAAUAUUGGGCAAUGGGCGCAAGCCUGACCCAGCAACGCCGCGUGAAGGAAGAAGGCUUUCGGGUUGUAAACUUCUUUUAAGAGGGAAGAGCAGAAGACGGUACCUCUAGAAUAAGCCACGGCUAACUACGUGCCAGCCGCCGCGGUAAUAC
rnacentral:rRNA from 1 species